AGACGUUCUCAGGGCGGGGUGCGAUUCCCCACCGGCGGUAAUUGCGUGCAAUGCGCAUAGCCCGCGAGCGCUUGUUGCGAUUUCUUGCAGCAAGGUCAGCAGACCCGGUGUGAUUCCGGGGCCGACGGUAUAGUCCGGAUAAAGAGAGAACAGGU
rnacentral:ncRNA from 1 species